rnacentral:lncRNA from 1 species
CUGGGAAUGGCUGGCUUCAUCUCCAGGCCAAGGAGGGAUUGUGCUCCGAUGUUGGAGCCCUUUCUCCUCUGCACUUUUCUGAACUCCAUGAUUAGGUAGGUGGCCAUGGGAUGAUCAUAUAUUUUUUUAAUAUCACUUCCUCGAUAUGUUCUUCCUAGAAUCCCAUGGCCACUAUGAGCUGGGUUGUUGGGGGGCCUGGGUAGUCCAGGAGUGGCUCUCUGUAUGGCUUGAAUCAUGUCUUCUGGUCACUAUUGACCCAGGAGUUCCUCAACAGCUGGUCCAGUGGGAGCUGCUCCCUGGGGUUGAGUGUGAAGAAUUUUUAAAUAUUUUUUUCCAUAAAAUGAAUAAAAAAGUAGCAUACUAUUUUAAUUUUUUUUUUUUCAGUAUAUCCUUACAG